CUCCCUCUCUCGAUUCUUCUGUCUCUAGAUGUAUAAUAUAUAAGAGAGCUCGUUGGGCUAACAAUGUGACACUAAGAAAGUGCUUACAUGAUACUAUUGGUCGAAUGAAAAGGGCAGUUGAAAAGGGAAACGCUAUUGCUUCUGCUGUUGGAGCUUCCAAUGAUUUUGUUGAGACACUUCUGGAGCAGCUGUUUAGGCCAUCCUUGUCUACAAUUAUUCUGGAAAAUUCAAAAUACUGUUUUGAUGACAACAAAGAAGAUGGAGGAGAUGGUAGUAGGCUAUGCAGUUGUUAUAGUUGAUAACAAGUUGUGUGGAAUUCUUACGUGGAAAUAUGGUUGCUGUUGUUGAUGUAGUUGAUAUUACUCAUGCUGUUGUGGCUUAUGUCAAAAUGACUGAUGGAUAGCUCUAUGAUUCAAUUGUUUUGGCAUUUUGCCUUGGUGAAUAAAGAUGAGGGUUUUCAAAGUGUUGCUUUUGGAGGAGAAAAGAUGAGGUCACCUUUCUUUUCGUCGUCAAAUUUAUCUAUCACAUUUGCUUUCAAAGUUGAAGAUAAGAUGAGUUUGAUGCAUAGAUUUACUUUCUAUGUUCAGAGUCUGACAUACCUUAUGACCGCAAUCAUUCAGAGAAUGGGUGGUGACAUUGACCGCAACAACCUUCCCCAAAAAUUGUAUGAAGAUGAUGAUCGUGAUAAGGUUAUACUAGCAUCAGAUGAAGGCCUUGUAAUAGCUGCGGACCUAGCAAAGCAUCUUAGUUGGAAGGUAUUUGUGCAAGCAUACAUUUAACAUAUAUUAACCAAGGACAUUAAUCCAACUGCUAACUAAAACAAAAUGGGCAUAUCCUAAAGCACAACUUCAAUAUUACAAAAUGAAAUCAACCAAUCCAAAACAAACAAGAGAUUCAGCCUGUCACACCAAGAACUUCAAAAUGUGUAUUCAUAUUCUGGUAAGCAAAUUGUUACAAAUUACCAAAGUGACAAAAUGAAUUGGC